GCAUAGUGCCUGGUUCAUAGUUGUUGUUCAGUCUCAUCUAACUCUUCAUAACCCCCUUUGGGGUUUUCUUGGUAGAGACACAGGAUGAUUGGCUGUUUCCUCUCCAGCUCAUUUUACAAGAGGAGAAACUGAGGUAAACAGAGUAAAGUAACUUGCCCAGGGUCACACAGCUAGUAAGUGUCUUUACUCAGUUUUGAACUCAGGAAGAAGAGUCUCCUGACUCCGGGCAUGACAUUCUGUCCACUAUGCCAUCAAGUUACCCUCUAUCACCUAGCUGACUCAUGGUAGACAAUUAAUAAAUGCAUGUUGAUAGCAAGUAAGAGAUUUAGAGAUACUGUAGUACUUCUCUCUCCCUUUACAGAAAAGGAAACUGAGGCCCGUGUGACUUGCUCAAGGUCACACAAACAGUAGAGUGGAAUAAAAGAACCAAGGCGUCCUGGCCACAAAUCUUUGGGCUUCUCCACUAUAACAUACUGCUUCUCUUCCUUGGGAGAUCAUUGACCCAGAUCUGAGCUUUAAUUUUGUGGUUUACUCGUAUAUGGGCUAGGGAAAUGGCUGUACCUCUCCGAGUCUUGUUUUCAUUACCCAGAAAAUAAGAAUGAUAAUGCACUUGAUUUGGUGAAAAUCAUUGUGUCCACUUAGAAAUCUAUAGAACCAUGGGUUAUUAUUAUUGCUAAGGAAUUCCAAGGUUCUGGGUCUCUAGUUUAGACAGUCACUAGGAAUGUUGCUAUAGGGGCCAAGUGCCAACAACUGGGCAGACUAAACUGCAGGACAUUCCCUUGGAGAGCUCACAUUCCAGUUUAAAUAAGUCAGAUGGAUUCAGGAUUGGGAUAUAAAGUGAUGACCUGGUCCAAUCAGAGUAGGCAGGGUAAUCACACAUCAUUUAAAAGUUAGAAGAAAUCUUGGGAUACUCAGUUCAUCCUGUGCCUGGCUGAGAUUUCUCUCUCCAAUACCAGCCUAGGUUUGAAGAGCUUUAUUGAGAACCAGUCCACUGGACUUUGGAUGGCUCUAUUUGUGGGGGAAAAAAAUGGCCUUAUGUGGAGCAGCCUGAAUUGGCAUCUCUGCAGCUUCCCCCUUAGGUCUUUAUUCUAUUCUCUGGAGUCAAGCAGAAUGAAUGCCAUCCCUCUCCCUGUUAAUAGCUCUUCAAACACUUGACGGUUUGCCUGCCCUGCAAAUACACCCAUACAUGACAUGUGUUUAUACAAACACAUGUGAACACAUGCAAAACCACAUACAAAAUCACUUAUACACACAUGUGUGUGUUAUACAACACAUGUUCUCUUCUCCUGACUAAACAAAUCAAAGUUCUUUCAUUAAUCUUCACACAUCAUGAUCUUAAGGUACUUUCUCAAUCUGGUUGCCUUUCCUCCAAAUGACCCCUACCUUUUCAUUGUUCUUCCUAAACUGAAGUGUCCAGAGCUGAACACAGUACUUCAGAUGUCAUCUAACCAGAGCAGCAGAGUACAUGGAGACUCGUGUUUAAGAUCUCCUGGACAGGAUCUAUGCUUCUCUUAUAGCAGAGUCAUCAAAGUCCAGUAACAGGACAAAAGCCAAGAGACUGCUGGUGCCCUGAAUUGCAGUGAAUGAUCUUGGAAUCUUCAAUUCCUGACUGAGUGCACCCAAACUCCUGUUUCAGGCACCCUCAGGACUACUAGAACAAAUUGUUCUAUCCUUCCUUUCCACAGCGGGGAGUCUUCACAUGCUCAGGGUAGACAUCCCCUAGCUCACAGACAGAUUUGAGGUUUGCUAUCCUCAACCUGGUUUAGCCUGUCAUCCCAGACAGUUUUACAUGAUUGCUAACCAUGCUACAGCUUCUUGGAGCUACAGCCUCCCUCCCUCCUCUGCAACCCCCCAAGGGAGCUCUGGCUUCGCUUGAGGGCACGGAGUGAACCAGCCUGUAACAGAGAAAUCUCAGGCUCCUCUUUAGACGUCCCCGGAGGAGGCAGAUCUGAGGGAAAGCUUCGGAGAAGGCGCCUGCAGCAAUGUCAGCUUGAGAACAGCCCAGCUGACAGGAUGCUGAGCAGGGGAUUAAGGAGGCUCAGAGGAGAGAUAGAAGCAGGAAGGUGGAGGAUGAGAUCUUUGGACUCUGUGCCCAGUCAAAGAGAAGGGUUCCUGAAUGAGAACCUCUGGGCUUCUCCCAUCGGGAGUUCUGCUUCCUUCCCUGCUCCCUUCUUCCUCACCUGUGAUUGCUAAGCACUUUCCAGAGAUACAUUUCAGAAAGAGAAUGAUCUUUGUGCUGAAGAGAACAUGGUGAACGGGACUUGAGUAAAGCUAAGUAAAGAGAAAGCAAGGCAGCUCCGUGUUCUUCAAAAUGAUGUUUUCAGUAUACAAACCAAUUCUACCAAGUUCUUAAUUCAUUUUCCGAGGUGAAGUUUCCAAGAGAUGAGAAAUCUUCAAAUGGUGAUGGAGGAGGAGGAUCAUUUGUCUGGGACAUUACAGGUCAUUCCGGACUCCCGAUGCCGCCAGUCCCUCGGUGAGACGUGAGCGCCAUUGGCGUCCGUGGCCUCUGUUUCCGUGGCAACCCAGUAACCAUUAAUUUUCAAUUAAAGGAGACAAAAAGCCCGAUGACAGCUCCGGGUCUGCUGAAGAUGUCAAGAAUCCGUAUUAAUAUACAGCAAGAGAGCAUAAUUGUGUGUCCAUCUUCCAGAGCAGCGAAAAAUGGGGGGAUAAUUACCAGCUGGAAAGCCACUCUGUAAUUUAGUUCUUACUGUCACCACAGCCCCACACAUUAGCAUAAAUUAAAAGCAGAGUUUAUUGUUAUCAAA